AAACCGUUACCAUUACUGAGUUUAGUAAUGGUAACGGUUCUCUUGCUGUACCCAGAAAACGUG
rnacentral:pre_miRNA from 1 species